UGGGGAAUCUUCCGCAAUGGGCGAAAGCCUGACGGAGCAACGCCGCGUGAGUGAAGAAGGUCUUCGGAUUGUAAAGCUCUGUUUAAAGGGACGAAUGGUCAGCGUGUAAAUAAUGAGUGACC
rnacentral:rRNA from 1 species